rnacentral:snoRNA from 1 species
GCAGGGCUGAAGACUGUGGUUUUCUUUUUUUAAUCAGUGGUUUACAUAGCCAGACACCAGGCAGAAAAGAAAAGAGUGGUCUUCCUUUUAAAGUGGUUAUAAUCGUGUGCUAAGUUCCUCCCCCCCCCAUAACAUAUCAUUAUUUAAGGGAAAUACACAG